CACAUGCUUUAACCACACUGAACCAGAAGCCCCAACAGUGCCACACGGAAAGAAAACCCUUUCGAUGGAGGACAAAAGGCGCGACGGCGGAACCCUACCGCCGGCAAGCUCCUAUGCGGGAACUGAAACUCAGGCAGGCGAGCCUGUUCAGUCUCGGCGCCGAGCGGGAGGGCAAAAGAGGAAAGCUAAUGUACUCUUUCCAUCGAAUACUUCGUCUACACCGUCGAAACGCGUUACUCGCGAGAAGAACUUGAGUUUCCACUCUUCGAUCCAUAACGGCCCAUUGACCCGGGCGCGCCAGAGCCCCAAUAGUGUCGCUUAUGUUGCUUCAGCUGUGGCAGGAGUAAAGCUCGAGGAGAAGCCGAUAUUGACUGCGGAUGCGGCCCUGGCAGAUGAUGAGCGACGCAAGGCAAAUGAGGCGGAGUCAGAAGCACUGGCAGCAAUUGAAGCGGAGUUUGAGGCAAUUAGAUCUCGGGAUGCUAACUCGCACGUUGUACCCAGUCAUUGCGGUUGGUUUUCAUGGAAAAAAAUCCAUGUUCUCGAGGAGCGGGCAUUGCCUACAUUCUUCAACAAUAAAUCCGAAACCCGGACUCCUGGUGUGUAUUUGGAAAUUCGCAACUGGAUCGUGAAGAAGUUCCACUCAAACCCAAAUGUUCUAAUUGAAUUAAAGGAUCUAUCAGAGCUUGAAGUUGGAGAUUCGGAUGCACAGCAGGAAGUCAUGGAAUUCUUGGACUACUGGGGUUUGAUUAAUUUUCAUCCAUUUCCACAAAAAGAUGUAGCUGUUGCCAGCACCGAUGACAACAGAACAGCGAAAGUGGAUUCUUUGCUUGAUAAAUUUUAUCGCUUUGAAGCUAUUCAGCCUUGUCCGUCCUUGGUUCCUAAACCCAACAUUAAAACUCCGACUAUGCCUCUUGGGGUGUUUCCUACUUCUGCAAUUGCUGAAGAUUUGGUGAGGUCAGAGGGGCCAGAUUACCAUUGCAAUUCUUGUUCAGCUGAUUGCUCUCAGAAGCGCUACCAUUGCCAGACGCAGGCCGAUUAUGAUUUGUGUACUGAUUGCUUUAAUAGUGGAAAAUUUGGCUCCGACAUGUCUUCAUCAGAUUUUAUUCUCAUGGUGCCUGCUGAGGCUCCAGGUGUUAGUAGUGGAAAGUGGACUGAUCAGGAGACCCUCCUCCUCCUUGAAGCAUUGGAACUUUACAAAGAAAACUGGAAUGAGAUUGCAGAGCAUGUUGCCACAAAAACAAAAGCUCAAUGUAUUUUACAUUUUGUUCAAAUGCCGAUUGAGGAAACUUUUCUUGAUUCUGGUGAGGGUAUUACUGCCAAUUCCAAGGAAACUGCAGAUCCUGCUGCAUCCACUAAUGAUUCUUCUGUCCCCAAGGAUGAUAAGGAAACAGAUGAGGGUAAGUCUAGAGCUAGUGAGGAUCAGCCCUCAACUUCUCCUAUGGAAGAAACAAAACCAGAAGAUGCAUGUGAAGCAAAAACUUGUCAGGAAACUUCAAAAACUGAAAAUGUCAGUGACAUGAAAGUUGGCGAGGAAGGUUCAACAUCAGCUGGUACUGGUGAAGUCAAGGCUGCUCAUAAAACUGGUGAAAACAUUGCGCUAAAGGCUCUAAGGGAAGCUUUUAGAGCUGUUGGUUAUUUUCCAACACCUGGAAGACCACUUUCAUUUGGUGAAGUGGGAAAUCCUGUCAUGGCACUGGUUGUGUUCCUGGCACGGUUGGUAGGAUCUGAUGUUGCUAAUGCUUCAGCCCGCAGUUCUUUAAAAGCCAUGUCCAGCAAUUCUCCAGGUCAGCAGCUGGCCACUAGGCAUUGUUUUGUUUUGGAUGAUCCCCCAAUUGACAAGAAUGAAACUGGUGCUUCUGAAAGUGUUGUCACUGAAAUGGUGGAUAGGCAGACUGAUAAAGACAUUGAGGAGCAGAUCAAUAACCAGAAAGAGGACAGCAAUACCUCUGGUCUGAGUAACAGGGAUUUGGCUUUUAAAAAAGACGAGAAAAACGAAAAUUCUAUUCCUAAAGGACAAAGGAGUUUGAUUUCUGAAAAUGUCAAGCCUGCUGAAUUACAUGCUGAAAAUGAGUCAGCUUCUCGUGAAGUACCCGGAAAUAUUGAUGAAUCAAGAAAUUCAAAGUUAGCAAAGGAUCUACCACCAAAUAUUGUGAAAGAAUCAGAUGAUUUGGCAUCCAAGGCAGACUUUCCUCCUAGUUACGUGAUGGGGCAUGAGGAGGAAACUGCAUUAGGAGAGCAUUCUCAGCUUUCAGAGGUAGAGAAUGUGAAAAAGUUAUCUGGUACGCUCACUCUGGAAAAAGAUAUCCAUAGUCAUCUGGCUACGUCAGGGUCAGUUGGAGAGCCCUCUCUACCUGCAGAGGUGUCGAAGGAUGUGGAUAAGACAUCUGAUUCUCUGCCUCAUGAAAACAAUGAGCAGCGGUCGGUUAUAUCAAAUUCUGUUAGGGAGGAGUCUCAAGCUACAGAGGUUACAAAAGAUGUCGAUAUGGUGUGUAAAUCUUUGCCUUCUGAGAAGAAUGGGCAGCAGUCAGUCUCAUCAGAUCCUGCUGGAGGGCCCUCUCUACCUUUGGAGGCACAAAAGGAUGUAGAUAUGAUGUCUGAUCCCCUGUCUUUGGAAAACAAUGAACCUCUACAUCCAUCAAAUUCAGUGAUUGAAAACGGAACAAAUGCUGGUAUCUCUCUUUCUCAGUGUGAGAAUCAAAUAAAAGACAGUAAAAUGGACGGGCAUGACUGCACAGUGACCAAAGACAUGCAGGAUAUUGAUAAAUUAAAGCGUGCUGCUGCUUCUGCAAUCUCAGCAGCUGCAGUAAAGGCGAAAGUUCUUGCAGACCAGGAAGAGGAAGAAAUUCGACAACUCGUUGCAUCAAUGAUUGAGAAACAGUUACAUAAGUUGGAAACCAAGUUAGCUUUCUUUAAUGAGAUGGAUAGUAUAGUUAUGAGAGGAAAGGAACAAUUGGAGAGGUCAAGGCAUAAGCUAUUCCAUGAGCGUGGACUGAUAAUAGCUUCACGACUUGGUUUGCCACCUUCAUCUUCUAGGGCAGGUCCGCCAUCAUUGCCUGCCAACAGAGUCGCUAUGAACUUUGCAAACUCAGUUCCAAGGUCCCCAUUAAACAUGACUUCCAUACGACCACCAAUUUUAAGACCCAUGGGAACUGCACCACCUACUUCUAACCCAUUUGUAGCCUCUCCUGUAGCAGGAAGUACUGUCCAGCCUUCAGGUCAAGACAGAGACCCUUCAGUUGUGACAAAGUAGUCUUUGCAUAGUGUACCAUUAAUCAAGCUUCAUCCAAUCAAUACAUCAGUUGAAUAGUGCCUGUUUUACCAAGCAGAAAAUCAGGAUAUCUACUUUGAAUGUUGGUUUGCUAAAACACACACACACGCACAACAGCAGCAACCGAAAAACCAGAAUACUUCAAAGAGAGAGUUAGAGGGAGAAAUGAUGAAAUGGUUUAGUCUGAGGAUUGUAUCAACCAGUCUAUUCCUAUGGCAAUUAUUUGGUUGAUUGGAAAAGAAACAGUAGGAUCUUCAACAAUAGUGAAACUAGCCUUGGUUUCUUUUUAUGAAAUUGCUUUAUUUGGUUGAAA